rnacentral:rRNA from 1 species
UACGUAGGGUGCGAGCGUUAAUCGGAAUUACUGGGCGUAAGGGGUGCGCAGGCGGUUAUAUAAGACAGAUGUGAAAUCCCCGGGCUCAACCUGGGAACUGCGUUUGUGACUGUAUGACUAGAGUACGGUAGAGAGGGGUGGAAUUCCUGGUGUAGCAGUGAAAUGCGUAGAUAUCAGGAGGAACAUCGAUGGCGAAGGCAGCCCCUUGGACCUGUACUGACGCUCAUGCACGAAAGCGUGGGGAGCAAACAGG